AGAGUUUGAUCCUGGCUCAGGACGAACGCUGGCGGCGUGCCUAAUACAUGCAAGUAGAACGCUGAAGAGAGGAGCUUGCUCUUCUUGGAUGAGUUGCGAACGGGUGAGUAACGCGUAGGUAACCUGCCUUGUAGCGGGGGAUAACUAUUGGAAACGAUAGCUAAUACCGCAUAACAAUGGAUGACACAUGUCAUUUAUUUGAAAGGGGCAAUUGCUCCACUACAAGAUGGACCUGCGUUGUAUUAGCUAGUAGGUGAGGUAAUGGCUCACCUAGGCGACGAUACAUAGCCGACCUGAGAGGGUGAUCGGCCACACUGGGACUGAGACACGGCCCAGACUCCUACGGGAGGCAGCAGUAGGGAAUCUUCGGCAAUGGGGGCAACCCUGACCGAGCAACGCCGCGUGAGUGAAGAAGGUUUUCGGAUCGUAAAGCUCUGUUGUAAGUCAAGAACGGGUGUGAGAGUGGAAAGUUCACACUGUGACGGUAGCUUACCAGAAAGGGACGGCUAACUACGUGCCAGCCGCCGCGGUAAUUC
rnacentral:rRNA from 1 species